rnacentral:rRNA from 1 species
UACGUAGGUGGCGAGCGUUGUCCGGAAUUACUGGGCGUAAAGCGUGCGCAGGCGGUGAUGUAAGACAGAUGUGAAAUCCCCGGGCUCAACCUGGGAACUGCAUUUGUGACUGCAUCGCUGGAGUGCGGCAGAGGGGGAUGGAAUUCCGCGUGUAGCAGUGAAAUGCGUAGAUAUGCGGAGGAACACCGAUGGCGAAGGCAAUCCCCUGGGCCUGCACUGACGCUCAUGCACGAAAGCGUGGGGAGCAAACAGG